CACAUUGGUUCUGGGCUUCUAUGCACCUAUAAUGUUGUAGAAGCAGUACUUCAGUGCUGUUGAUUCUAAGGCCUAAAUGUGUCUGGAGCACUGGAGUAUGGUAUGAUAUGAUAUGGAGAUGGUGGGAAGAUGAGCGCCUGGAGGAGAAUUAGUAAGCAAGACCAGGCUGUAGGCAGCACAUGAUGGAUGGAUGGGCUGAGACAGCAAGAUCACAUAGGCUGCAUUCCCCUGGGAAACCGGACUGAAAACACAUAAGCAGAGGGGCAGUCUGUCCAUACGGCAUCUGGCAUGGAAGAGUGGAUGAAGCAAAGGCACAGGACAGAAAUGCUGGAAAAAGAAAUCAUUUGCCCCUCACAAGAAUGCUCUGCAAAGUCAGACUGUCCAAAGGGUGUAAUCUGACAUGCUUCCAGCUCUUCUGAGAAGAAAAAUGAAGAUACAAGUAUACUGAUAUGGUUGUAGAAGAAUUAGUCCAAACAAUGAUUGAUUUGUUCCUCUGGGAUCAAGGAGACCUGUAACAUGUUAAUGUUACAUGAACUGGAACAGCCCCAUCAGAAGCCUACAACAGAACUUAAAAACACUUCCUGUGAGGUACAGUAGGACCUUGGGCCUGGAUCUCCAACAUCCCAUGAGCAGCUUUGCAUGAUAGAUAUGCUUUUUCCUGUCAGGCUGUUCAUGCAAUAGCACAAAGUUGACACCAGAUCCACUGAAGUAUUUGAGCUUUUAGUUCUGACUGAGAAGCUAAGUAGGAGUUAUAGGCUCAAUGUCUUGUGAAGCUGCCUCUUAGUUUAGAGACUGCUAUUUGGAAUGUCUUUAAUGAGCUGGAGAGACAAACUGAGAAGACUCUCUUUAAGCUCAGCAAGGUGAAAUGUGAAGUCACAGCUACUACUAACCCAGUGUCUCCAUACAAGCUUUCGCCAACUGGCUUGACAGGAAAAGUCUAUGGACAACCAGUAGACUAUAAGUGAGUAACACUCACUAUAAUACACACUUGCAGCAAGAAUGGCUGUCAGCCUCCUGGGUUGCCCUAGGAGGAGCAUUUCUAGUGGAUUAAAGGAAGUGAUUUUUCUUCUCUGUUCAGCACAGUGAGAUCUGGAGUACUGAGUCCAGGUCUGGGAUCUCCAUUACAAGAGAGACACGGACAUACAGAGUCGUCUGAAGAUCUAUGAAGAUGAUGAAGGACCUGAAAAAUCUGACAUAUGAAGGGGCUGAGACAGCUGGGACUGUGCAGCUGGGAUAAAAGAAGACUCCAGCAAGGUGUAUGAAUACCUGAUAGAAAGAGUAAAAAUGAUGGAGCUGGGCUUUCUGUUCACUAGGGCCUGGUGACAAGACAAAAAGCAACAGGUACAAACUGAAGUGCAGAAAACUUCAUUUAAAUACAGGAAAAAAAACUUAUUUUACCAUGAGGAUGUUCAAAUACUGUUUAAGUCUGGCAGUAGCCUGCAUGCAGAUGCCUCAUUAUUUCCAGCUGCUGACAAUAAAUGAAUAUAAGCAUUUACCUAACCAAAUUAUUACCAAGUAAUUUUUGAAGGAUGAGAAAGCCUGCGCAUUUUGGUGUGUCCUGUUCUCUCAGUGGGGCACACGUAACAUCCUCUCAUGGAAUAGUGUUGUUUAUUUUCACUUCUGCAGACGCAGCCCUGGGAAUGUUUUCAGUCAUGCUCUUCUACCCCAUUUCCACUAUGGUUAAUUUUCAUUUAGUGGGUUCCUGAUAGGUGUAAUCCCUCCAGUACUGUGCAAGUAGAAGUACCUGUAGCUGAAAUGAUGAGAAGCACACCACAAGCGUGUCCAGAUAGUGGGGAAAGCCAGCAGAACCUUGUGGAGCAUUAUGCACUUGUUGGGAUUGCUUGUUGUAUUAUAUAGUAAGAUGAUCCCCAGAAGCCAGGGUGUUGUAAAAUUCAUUUUAUUUAAUCAUGACCAUCGCAUGCUGGGUUUCUUUUAAACAUUCUGGUUUCUGCAGGCAAAUUGUUUGGUAAUCUCUAUUUCUUGACUCUUGCCUUGCAGGCUAGAAACUCACUUUGGUAUUUAAAAAAAAGAAAAAAAAAUUAUAGACAAAAUUUUCAAGCAUCUUCUUAACUCUGUCUCCAGGGCUUCUCAAACAAACAAAACCAAGCAUCACAGAACUCAUGAAAGUUAUCAGGGAACUCUAUGUCUUCUUUAAGAGUAACCAAUCAGAAUUUUCCUUUUGUGGCAAAUUCCAACUGGCUUAUAUAUUUAUUCUUGUUUGCUUACCUUCCAAGUAGUAAAAUGCAAUAACCUCUGGGAUUUUUUUCUGCAGUUCCUUGCCGUAUCUGUUAUAUCAGUGCCCCCCUUCUUCUCAAGCACUUUCAUUUUUGAUGAACUGUUUUUGUGAAAAAGAAAGUGCAAGCUACAGCUCAAUGAAUAAU